GCAGGCGCGCAAAUUACCCAAUCCCAAUUCGGGGAGGUAGUGACAAUAAAUACUGAUACAGGGCUCUUUUGGGUCUUGUAAUUGGAAUGAGUACAAUUUAAAUCCCUUAACGAGGAACAAUUGGAGGGCAAGUCUGGUGCCAGCAGCCGCGGUAAUUCCAGCUCCAAUAGCGUAUAUUAAAGUUGUUGCAGUUAAAAAGCUCGUAGUUGAACCUUGGGUCUGGCUGCUCGGUCCGCCUAACCGCGUGCACUGAUGCGGCCGGAUCUUUCCUUCUGGCUAACCUCAUGCCCUUUACUGGGUGUGCUGGGGAUCCAGGACUUUUACUUUGAAAAAAUUAGAGUGUUCAAAGCAGGCCUUUGCUCGAAUACAUUAGCAUGGAAUAAUAGAAUAGGACGGCGGUUCUAUUUUGUUGGUUUCUAGAGCCACCGUAAUGAUUAAUAGGGAUAGUCGGGGGCAUCAGUAUUCAAUUGUCAGAGGUGAAAUUCUUGGAUUUAUUGAAGACUAACUACUGCGAAAGCAUUUGCCAAGGAUGUUUUCAUUAAUCAGUGAACGAAAGUUAGGGGAUCGGAGACGAUCAGAUACCGUCGUAGUCUUAACCAUAAACUAUGCCGACUAGGGAUCGGGCGGUGUUCAACUUAUGACCCGCUCGGCACCUUACGAGAA
rnacentral:rRNA from 1 species